UCUCGUGUGUUUCUUGCCAGCAAAACACUCGAAUAUAACCAGCAAACAGAGAGAUUCUUUAAACUCUUUGGCCAAUGAUCCGAACAUCAUAAUAAAAGAAGCUGACAAAGGCGGAGCAACAGUGAUAAUGGAUUCAACGAACUACAAACACAUGGCAAUGGACUUACUCCUGGACGAAGGUACUUAUGUCCCGUGCAGUG